AGAGCCAAAAAGAUUCUUAAUACUUGACUGGUCAAGCGGGUAUUUGCCAUUCGGUUACUUGAUCGCUGGGUUGUUUUAGCAGCUGGUGAACAACAGGCUCCCCAAUUAAGCGAUCUGGUUUUAGGUGUCAGUGUGCGCUCUG